AGUGUCUGAAAUGUUCAGCUUACCCUAGUGGGUCUCAAACUUCCUACAUAUCAGAAUCACCUGUAGGUUAUUUAGCACAGACUGCGGGGCCCCACCCCCAGGAACUCCCAUUCACCAGGUGUGGGGUGGGGCCCAAGAAAGUGAGUACCUUAGAAGUUCCCAGGUGACAUGAAUGCUGCUGAUCCCAGGGCCACCUGUUGAGAAUCACUGGCCUCCCCAAUUUGCUCCUACCCUUAGCCCAGCUGGGUUCUCCACUCCCAUCUCAGUGGUCCCACCUGUUGCGAACAGAAGCAGAAGACGACCACAGAAUGUUUGGUUGGUCUCCGUGGGCACCACCUCACAGGGGAGGACGGCGCCUUACUAAUGCAGGGGAUUGCUGCCGAAAGGUGCAAUGGAUGAUUUGCCCCGCCCCCACACAACCUAACUGAUGAUUUUACAGUCGCUCCAUCCUGCUUUUCAUCUGGACAGAAUGAAUCCCAAAGAGUAAGGAAAAAAUGAGUAAAGCUUACUUAACCUGGGGCUCACCUCGCAAUGACAAACUGGCCAUUAGAAAAAUGUCCUGUGCUUCAUGCUAGGACUUCCCUCCCACCCUGUUCUUUAUAAACAUUUUAGACCUAAAGAUGCAAAAUGUGUAAAAAUACGAUAAUAAAGGUGCCUGCCCCUACCUAACUAUAAAACUGAGGAAUGAGCUCAUGAUUCUGUUCAACUGAUAGCCAUAGGCAGGCAAUGUGCUGGGAGAGAAGGAUUUAACCAUGAUAACCAUACUACUUCUUAAGCCCCACCGUGCACCAAGCAGUAGGAAGGCAUUUGUCCUAAACCCUGCAGCCUUCUUGGAAGGAAGUGACAGUUCGGUGAUAUCAGCACAGGUGUACACCUUGCUGGUCAGGUGCCGAGUUUCCGCUAAGCACCUGACACACACUUAUUUAAUCAGCAUUAACAACCCUGGGAGUUAGAACUUUCCGGAAGAAGAAACUGCACCAUAGGGAGGUUCAGCAGCUUGGCCAAUACCACUCUGUUAAUAGAAGGUGAUGGUAAACUUCGCACCCAUGUCACUUGGCUCCAGAGGAUGAACCAAUGACUCUGCUACUGCCUUGGCCGGUGAGUGACAUCAUCCACGUGUCACAGUCAGGAUCAGGCACCCAGAAUCAUUGAGACCAAGAGAAGAAAUGCUUCUACCUGAGGAUAUCACUGAUGAAAGCAGGCCGAGUCGAGAGCAAACUCUCAGCGUUCUCUUGAAACCUUGCCUCUGGAUUGCCUUUGCCUCAUGCACUCACAAAUACCGGGUCACAGCUAUGUGGCUGGCCCCAGCACUGAUUGGUAAUCCUGAGGCUGAACAAUCUGAGCCAUGGGAAAGCAAACUCUACCUUCCUAAACAAAGCUACCCCAGGAUGAAGCACUGGGGAGUGCUCACAAACUUACUUCCCUCACAACCAAGUCUCCGAUCUUCCCAGUCAACACCUGUAAGUAUUAGAGACACGCUCUAACUUCCACAACAGCUUCCCUCUAAGAAAGUGACAACCCAUGUGUAACAAUGCCACCAAAAUCUGCACACAAUUUCUGAGGGGGUUUGAGAACCACCCUAAUUUAUCUGUGGACCCCAGGUAAGAGGCACCGACUCAGGAAUGGGGUGCACGGCAAGGAGCUGGCCCAGCACCUAGCUCUUGUGUCAUCAGACACAGCCCACCCUAAGAAGGCAGAGAUAGAUUUGGGUCAGUCACAGUGGCUUCUUCUAGAAAAAUCAGGCCACAAAGUCAGACCUAGCAAUUAGGUCCUGAAGGUUAUAAGUGGAAUUAACUAGAAUUUCACAUUCCUUGCUAUCUCUGAUAGCUGUACCCCCUACGGACUUCGCUGUUUUCUGGGGCUCUCUCUUACCCAAGGCCAUGGGAUUUUAGGAUAGGACUUGAGGAAAUACAACCAAGAACACAACCACAGGAUAAGUUUAGGCCUUCAGCAAAGGAGCUGGAAUAAUGGCGAACAUGAACUGAAAAGCCUUUUGCUAAUCGCUGUCCUGAACACUUAACAUGUAUCAGCUCAUUGGAUUCUCACACUAACCCUGUGAGUUACAGUCUGUCACUAUUGCCCCAUCUUAGGUAUGAGGAGACCAAAACCCAAAUAGGUUAAAUCACCUGCCCUAAGUCACAGAGCCAUUAAGUGGCAGGCUCUGGGCUUGAACCCUGGCUGAUAGGCCCCCUUCUACCCAUGUUGACCCUAACGGUAUCCCACAUAAAUUCUACCUAAGGGUCAGCAGCCCAUGGACAGUUCACUAGGGUAGGGCCAAUGUGUGAGAAAUGAGGCCUAGAGUUUAUAGUAAAGACAGUGCUGAGUAUUUCCUGAGAGGGCCACCAGGGAAAUGACAGGGAAAAGGAUAUGGCCAUGGGCCCUGGGCAAGGUGCACACUCUGAUCACAAUCUGAUACACCUAGCAAGACAGAGACAUGCAAAGAGAUCACACUUAGUCAGUUGGUUGUAAUGUUUUUUAGAAGGAAAACAAAGGUUUCACUUGCUGCCGCCUGAUACCAGUCAGAAGAGACCCUGGUUUUCUGCAGGAAGAAUUAAAUCCCAGCAAUUUAAAUGCUUAAGUCGCUAAAUGGAAAUCUAACUCCUCCGGCACAGUGAUCUCUGGCAAAACCUGCAGGCCCCUGAGCUGCCCACAUGUCAGGAGGGCAUGUGUACCCCAGAGAGGGGCUCACUCCAAAGAGACCAGGGAGCUCUGGGAGGAGAAUCGCCAAGGCAGCAAGGGGUUCUACCCCAUGCACAGACAGAAAGCUCGCCACUUGGCUCAGGAUUUGCAAGGUUUUAUAUGUUUAAAACCACUUGCACCAGAAGGGGGUGCUGUUAUCCCUAAAACUCACCUUAGGCUCCAGGUCCCGAGGCAGGUUCCCUGAGCUGAUAAAAUGAGGCACCUGCCAGACCCCCGUAGGGGCUUCAGGAAGCUCUUUUGGGUUCUAUACCAGACUCUGGGCUCCCCCAUCUCUGACUCCAGAGGACUUGACUUCCUACAUUUUCAAACAGAAAUUGAUGAUUCUUCCCAGAAUUUUCCUGAAUAGUUGCUAUUUUUACAUCUUCUACUGCUUUACUGAAGUCUGUCAUUUAACUAAAAGAAGAAACA